rnacentral:lncRNA from 1 species
AUGCGCAUCGCGAGAAAAAGAUGCUUUCAUUGAUGCUGUAAAAUUGCACUUCUCAUCCUGAAUGGUCAUGUAUCAUGCACCCUUACUGUACACCCACCCCUUAUGUAAUGCCCCCACUCGGGGCCUUUAAGGAAAUAAAGUGAAAGU